AUCACCAUUUUAAAAGGGGUUCAGCAGCGACACUGGUGUCAGGAAGUUUAUGGAGCAUCAGCCCCCCUGUUGGAAAGCCAGAGGUAGAUUUCCUCAGCCUUCACAAGCAUCUUCUGGUGACACCAUGGGUUGCCAACGAGGAGGUGAACACUGAGAGGACGGAGCUGGAGGCAAAUAGCCAAAGAAGAAAAAGAACGCCAUUAGGAAGAUCUUCAGCCGCCUCUGGAGGAUCAUAACGUGUUCCUCUGGGAUCUUCAGAGAGGACGACAACUGAGCUGCCUCCAUUGUAAAUAACUGUUUUACAAGUUGAUACCACCAACUGUAACAUCAUCAUGGCCAAUUAUAUCAUUUUAUGUAAAUAACCCAAAAAUAAAAACUCAAUUUUGCCAAAAAGCAACAUUCUGUAUGUGUGCAUUUUCAUGCUAUGCUAUUAUAACUAUGAGUUAUAAAACAUAAAUCAACAUAAAUCAGAAGAGUACCACUUAGGCCUUGAGCGUUCUGAUUUAAGAAUGAGAUUUAGACAAAGUCGUAGAGUGUGUGAAUAGGGAUACAGCCU
rnacentral:lncRNA from 8 species